CAUACCGAAUAUAUUGUAUAUCGGUAAAGAAAACAUAAACAAGUAAAAAUACUACAAGAAUAUGCAUUGAAACAAAUUAGUAUUUUUAUGAAACAAAUAAAAUGCAACAAUUAAUUAUUUGUUUUGGUUAUUUUCAGGUGAUGAGUUUAACAACAUGGCCAGUAUUCCCCUGGGUGGUGAUCAGCUGACACGGGUAACAUUUGAUUCGGUACGCGUUCUGAGAUCUGGUACUCACAGUCAAACAGAGAGGUCGAGAGGUCGAAUAAUUAUUUCAUGUUCAGCAAGACUUGUUAGAGAAAAUCAUCAAAACCAUCUACAUACCAGAAACAGCUCGUGAAGAGGGAUCACUUGCCCAGAACAGAGCAAUUCUUCAUAGAAGAAACGUUAAUGGUCAAGUAAAGGCUUAUGGAUAUGAAUCACACAAAGACUUCCUCAUUACUGUCACUAGAGCUCUUGUGAUAGAGUUAGCUUGUGAAAAAUGGGGGCUUAUUCCAAGACAGAUAUGGGGUCUCUUGUUCCGGAAGAAAUGAAGACUUCUUAUAUCAAAGGGAAGAAACAGUGGUUACAGGAGCAAGUGACCAAAGUGGUGGAUACACUCUUCUGUCCAUACUCUGCUCCAAAAGAUGCUAAAAUAUACAUUCGGCGCAGUGGCCAUUUGUACUGUGUUACGGUGUCUUCAAAAGAUGUCGGGAAAACCAUUGAUCUUAUCAUAAAUGGUGAAGCUGUAAGGUAGCCUCAAGAGUGUAAACCUGACGAAGCAGAAGAUGGUGUGUUUUCAUACAGUCUUGGGAUUGUCAGAGUUGCAAUAGAUUUUAUCAUGUUCAAUGAUGCAAUAAAAUCAGGUGAUAUAGACAUGAUUACAAUUCUUAUGAAACGAUUCAUUCCACUGUUUAUAGGAUUGUCAUCCUACAAAUCAAAGUAUGCUAUUGAGUGUGUCAACUUCCUUACUAAAACUGAAUGCCUUUUG